rnacentral:rRNA from 1 species
UACGAAGGGGGCUAGCGUUGUUCGGAAUUACUGGGCGUAAAGCGCGCGCAGGCGGUCUUCCAAGUCAGUGGUGAAAGCCCGGAGCUCAACUCCGGAACUGCCAUUGAAACUGUUGGCCUUGAGUACGAGAGAGGUGAGUGGAAUUCCCAGUGUAGAGGUGAAAUUCGUAGAUAUUGGGAAGAACACCGGUGGCGAAGGCGGCUCACUGGCUCGUAACUGACGCUCAGGCGCGACAGCGUGGGGAUCAAACAGG